rnacentral:antisense_RNA from 1 species
UCCGCGGCGCGACGCUCCCACGGACUUAGCUGGGAUGCAGAUAGAAGCUGGGCCUUUGUCUGACUCCCCUCCAACAGUCAGCCACAGACGGGAAGGCAGCGCAGGAAACUGAGGCCAAAGGAGCCGCGCUUCCACAUGAGCAUGAAGCGGCAAAGCCUGAACUAGAAGCUUCUAACGCCUAACCGUCAUCUUGCAGCACCAGGACCUCUGCAAGGCCCUUCCUGACUUUUUCCUUAGAAUGUGUGUAUAUGUGUCUUUUUCCUUUUCUGAUGCUAAGACACCUCACAAACACCAAUGUUAAGUAGAUUUCCAUCGUUGGAGGUUAAAACACCCGAACACAGGUGUUUUCUUGA